UUUCCGUAGGUGAACCUGCGGAAGGAUCAUUACUGAGUGAGGGCCCCUCGGGGUCCAACCUCCCACCCGUGUUUAACGAACCUUGUUGCUUCGGCGGGCCCGCCUCACGGCUGCCGGGGGGCAUCUGCCCCCGGGCCCGCGCCCGCCGAAGCCACCUGUGAACGCUGUCUGAAGUAUGCAGUCUGAGACAAUUAUUAAAUUAAUUAAAACUUUCAACAACGGAUCUCUUGGUUCCG
rnacentral:misc_RNA from 1 species